AGGCAAAUUUCAUCGUGGUGAGGCGUGUAGGAGAUUUGCCAACAAAGGCAAUUUUGUCGAGACCUAGUAUUUGUUAACGACAGUCUGCAAGUACAAUAUGAGCAAAUUAUCGAGCUGUGGUAUCCACACUGCACUACAGCCCUGCCUGAAGAUCCGCAGGUUCAGCAUUCAGUGAUCGUGAUAAUACAGUCGACUGUUGAACGUUAUAGCGUACCUCGCAUAAUCAUUCACAAGUGAAUAUCACCUCCCAAUUAGUAUAAAUAUCGAAUUUAACACGACAAAGAAAAAUGUUAUGCAGAAAUCAAAUAUAGAUUAAUUUAGUAACGCUCUCGAUGUGUGAAAUGACACCCAAACAUAGUAUUUACCUUACCUAUCAGUCUCGUCAUGCAGUGUUUUGUCGUGAAUACGAAUUACUUUAGCAACAUCAGCAACACAAUUUUUUGUCCAUAUCAUCGGAUAUAUGAUCAGCAAUUCAUUAUAAAAUUUGCAGUAGUAUAAUUUAACCGUAAGUAAUUUAAAAUUAAGUUUUCUGUAAUGUUUGGUAUGAACGAACAUUCAGUUAAAAUUCAGUGCUAUAAUUGGGCACGUAAAAUUUCACCAGCAUGAAUUGAACGAAUCAUCACACAACGCGUAGCAUACAAACCCGGCGCAGAAAUAUGUUAUAUUUUCAGCGAUUUUGCGCAGUGAGCUGACGACAUGUUCUGUUCGUUAGUAAAAUAAACACUAACUAUGCAUAAUUAUAAACCAUGAGUCUUUUUUAUUGACUAAUAUUAGGAGGA